CCCCCCUCCCCCUCCCCCUCCCCCUCUAUAAAUUCAAUGCAAGAGUUCAAAUAUUCACAUAACUCCUGUGUACCAGUCCACAAUAUAAAACAAUUCAUGGCAUUUUCACAUCUAAUCCUUCUCUUGUUCUUGUUCUUAGGUGCUGAUGGGACAGUAUUCACAUUAAAAAACAAUUGUGGAAGAACUAUAUGGCCUGGGAUUCUAACAAGCUACCAAGCUCCCAGUCUUAUGAAUGGUGGUCUCGAGCUCAAAAAAGGGCAAUCAAAAAACAUAACAGCCCCUGAUAAUUGGUCAGGCAGAAUUUGGGCACGUGAUGGAUGCCGCUUCAACAAAGAUGGCAUUGGAAAAUGUCUUAUAGGCGACUGUGGUGGCAACUUACGUUGUCAAGGAGAGAUGGCUAAAGCUCCUGUGUCGGUGAUUGAAUUUAUUUUAAGUUCAGAUGCUGAUUCAUAUGAUGUUAGCCUCGUAGAUGGCUAUAACAUGGAAUUAUCUGUCGUGCCACUUGGUGGAAGUGGAAAUUGCACCAAGGUCUCGUGCAAAGUUGACCUGGCGGAGAAGUGUCCAAAAGCAAUGCAAGUUAAAUUUAAAGGAAGAGUUGUGGCUUGUUUGACUCCAUGUCUGGUUUUCAAAAAUCCUUUUGUGUGCUGUACUGGCCAGUUCAGUAAUCCUCAAAAGUGCCAAACAAGUAGCUACACUGAGGUCUUUCAGUCUAGUUGUCCCUUGGCUUAUAACUUUGCUUUUGAUGAUGCUACCAAAACUUUUACCUGUAGUGGAGCUGAUUAUCUCAUCACAUUUUGUUGAAAUUUCCAGGUAGUAUCAGAAAAAGAGCUAGUUUUCGAUGAAUGCAAGAUUUAUAUUGUGUUAGUUGUUUUGUUGCAUGUGGUUUGCGAAUUCCUUUGUUUGGGUGUAUGUUACUACUCCCUUUGUAAGCUACUCUGUUGUUAUUAUUUGGUCUUCAAUUGUUUGAACUUGAUUUUGUAUAAGCGAAUGACUUUUCAAGUUCUUGAA